AGUGAACGCUGGCGGUAGGCCUAACACAUGCAAGUCGAACGGCAGCACAGUAAGAGCUUGCUCUUACGGGUGGCGAGUGGCGGACGGGUGAGGAAUACAUCGGAAUCUACUUUUUCGUGGGGGAUAACGUAGGGAAACUUACGCUAAUACCGCAUACGACCUACGGGUGAAAGCAGGGGAUCUUCGGACCUUGCGCGAUUGAAUGAGCCGAUGUCGGAUUAGCUAGUUGGCGGGGUAAAGGCCCUCCAAGGGGACAAUCCGUAGCUGGUCGGAGGGGAUGAUCCGCCACACUGGAACUGAGACACGGUCCAGACUCCUACGGGAGGCAGCAGUGGGGAAUAUUGGACAAUGGGCGCAAGCCUGAUCCAGCCAUACCGCGUGGGUGAAGAAGGCCUUCGGGUUGUAAAGCCCUUUUGUUGGGAAAGAAAAGCAGCAGGUUAAUACCCCGCUGUUCUGACGGUACCCAAAGAAUAAGCACCGGCUAACUUCGUG
rnacentral:rRNA from 1 species